UACAGAGGUCUCAAGCGUUGUUCGGAUUCAUUGGGCGUAAAGGGUGCGUAGGUGGCGCGGUAAGUCGGGUGUGAAAUCUCGGGGCUUAACUCCGAAACUGCAUUCGAUACUGCCGUGCUUGAGGACUGGAGAGGAGACUGGAAUUUACGGUGUAGCGGUGAAAUGCGUAGAUAUCGUAAGGAAGACCAGUGGCGAAGGCGGGUCUCUGGACAGUUCCUGACGCUGAGGCACGAAGGUCAGGGGGAGCAAACGGGG
rnacentral:rRNA from 1 species